ensembl:lncRNA
UAUACAUUACGCAGCAGAACAUUAGAACAUAAUGUAAAAUACAUAGUUUUUAAAUGACAAUGAUUUGUUCAGCAGUUGGUUGUACUUCAGAGUUCUACGAUUACAAUUACUGUAGCUCCCUUAAUUGCUAAUCAAACUGCAAAAUGAAACACACAAACAAGCCAUUGUUGUAAAACAAACCAUUUUAAUUUGGCAAAAAGGGUAUGCACUGCCAAGUCAUUUGACACUAUUAAAAUGCAUUCAGUAUGAACAGUGCAACAGAAAUGUGCUUAACUGUAUCUUUCUGUGCUCCCCAAUGUGAUGUGCUAAUAUAUCUAUCAUACAUUCAAAAAGUGUGCUCUCUCUCGUCUCUGCUAGGUGUGCACACUCACUGAAGCAAUGGAAAAAAAAUCAUGGCAAAGCCUUUUAAAAUCACCUUAUCUGAUGGCUUCCAUACAUAAGUUCAGUGUUUAUUAAUGAAAUGGCUUAAGGCCCAAGCACAUCCAUUAAUACAAAAAAAAUCAAACCACGGGAACCUAGAUUUAAUGAUUCUUCAAGUAUGGUUCUUUAAAAAUAAUUAAAUAUAAAUAUGUCAUUAUUAUGUACAUAACUUAUAGGAUUACAUGUAAAGCAGGUCAAUUUUAGAUGGAGAUUAUAUAGGAUUUGUUGAUAUAUAUAUAUAACAUAAAUACGACCCACAACUGGUUGUUUGUUAGAUAAAAAAAAAAAAACAGCAGUGAAAACCAUCACAUUUUACCUGUACAUUUGUCUUUCACUGUAUUGCAUUAUGGUUGCAUUUUCACGGGUCUCUGAUGGUAAUGAAAUAAGUGUUUCUAAACAGUAGAGUGCUCCAUGCUGUCAAUACAAAGUGUUUCUGUAGGAGUAGAGCUAUAUUUUCAUCAGACACUCAAGUAAACAAAACUUAAGAUAACCCCAGCGGACCGAAUGAAUUUACUUUCUACUCACUGACAGAAUAAAAGAUCUCCAUAUCUGCUGAAGACCGCUGUGAGGGUUAUUAAAUGCACAAAUGCAUAACGAAGUUUGCAGAAAUUGAAUCUGAACUCAGAACUCCACACACCCCUGCACAGAAUCGACAAUACAGCAAGACUGAGAUAAAGAUGAACUAGUCAUCAUUCAUCAUCCGCUUGAGAUAAAUAUUCUCUACAUACUGUUACUAUAAACAAGUGUGUACUGCAUACAAAAUUAAGACCGCUAGUUGUGAAAACUAGGCACACCCAAAAUUACAUUGAAUAUAUCAGAAUGUAGACAAAGCACAAACAUGCAUGGUUUACAAAUACUGCCUAGUUGUUCCCCAGUUAACUUGCCAUUGCAGUUUAACAUCAGUUUGCAAAGUCUCUAACUGUAUUCGCUUUUAUUCAAUGUGAAUAAAAAUAUAUAAACCCUAAAUUAUCUCAACUUUACAGACAAAAUGUGUACAUAAAUUCUCAAAACAUUAAAAAAUGUAGCGAGGGAAAUUAAUACUUGCAUUAAAAUGGCAUGAAAAUACAAAUAUUAGCGGCACCACUUAAAAUGAAUGAAGCCUAAAAAAUGCCAAGAGUUCACUGUAGUUACUGUACACAAUGCUAUCCUACUGUCACAUUAAGCUUGAAAUAUCUAUACUCUAGAUUCACCGUUGUCUCCUGUUACUAUUGCACUGCCUGUAUAUUAUCUCUCUCCAGUGACUCUCUGUCAUCUCACUGAAAUAUUUAUUGCUUCUUAUUUUUAGGGGCUUUGUGAGCAGGUUAUGCCCCACUCUCUCUUGACGUUCUGCAGCUUGCGUUUCUCUUUACAAAUUCAAAGAUAUGGAUGUUUGGUAACUUUUUUGAAAAUUGCUUUGCUUUUUCACGCCUGCCUUAACCUAAUCUAUUGAAAUAUUGAACUCUUUUCCACCUCAGAAGUUUGAAAGUAAUUUCCGCAUGGCCUGUUCCUCUAGGUAUUGGAGCCCAUCCCCAUGGCCCCUUGCAUACUAAAAUACUCGGUGAAGUGGGACAUUAAUCUGGGAGGAGGGGGAGAGUGUGCGGAGCUGCGUGGUGGUAUGGGAGGAGGAAGAGGGGAGAAUGACUGUCCAUUCGUUAAUGUCAUUUCAUAUUCCAGCUGCAGCCCUUCUCCC